rnacentral:rRNA from 1 species
AGUGAACGCUGGCGGUAGGCCUAACACAUGCAAGUCGAACGACAGCACAGUAAGAUCUUGCUCUUACGGGUGGCGAGUGGCGGACGGGUGAGGAAUGCAUCGGAAUCUACUUUUUCGUGGGGGAUAACGGAGGGAAACUGACGCUAAUACCGCAUACGACCUACGGGUGAAAGCAGGGGAUCUUCGGACCUUGCGCGUUUGAAUGAGCCGAUGUCGGAUUACCUAGUUGGCGGGGUAAAGGCCCACCAAGGCGACGAUCCGUAGCGGGUCUGAGAGGAUGAUCAGCCCAACUGGAACUGAGACACGGUCCAGACUCCUACGGGAGGCAGCAGUGGGGAAUAUUGGACAAUGGGGGGAAGCCUGAUCCAGCCAUAGCGCGUGGGUGAAGAAGGCCUUCGGGUUGUAAAGCCCUUUUGUUGGGAAAGAAAAGCAGCAGGUUAAUACCACGCUGUUCUGACGGUACCCAAAGAAUAAGCACCGGCUAACUUCGUG